GUAGGGUGCGAGCGUUGUCCGGAAUUACUGGGCGUAAAGAGCUCGUAGGUGGUUUGUCGCGUUGUCCGUGAAAUCCCACGGCUUAACUGUGGGCGUGCGGGCGAUACGGGCAGACUGGAGUACUGCAGGGGAGACUGGAAUUCCUGGUGUAGCGGUGGAAUGCGCAGAUAUCAGGAGGAACACCGGUGGCGAAGGCGGGUCUCUGGGCAGUAACUGACGCUGAGGAGCGAAAGCGUGGGGAGCGAAC
rnacentral:rRNA from 1 species